GAUGAACGCAGGCGGCGUGACUAAUACAUUCAAGUCGAGCGAGUGGCGGACGGGUGAGUAAUGUCUGGGAAACUGCCUGCUGGAGGGGGAUAACUACUGGAAACGGUAGCUAAUACCGCAUCCCAUCGGAUGUGCCCAGAUGGGAUUAGCUAGUGGGUGGGGUAACGGCUCACCUAGGCGACGAUCCCUAGCUGGUCUGAGAGGAUGACCGGCCACACUGGAACGGAGACACGGUCCAGACUCCUACGGGAGGCAGAAGUGGGGAAUAUUGCACAAUGGGCGCAAGCCUGAUGCAGCCAUGCCGCGGGUAUGAAGAAGGCCUUCGGGUUGUAAAGUACUUUCAGCGGGGAGGCGUUACCCUCAGAAGAAGCACCGGUUAACUCCGUGCCAGCAGCCGCGGUAAUUC
rnacentral:rRNA from 1 species